rnacentral:lncRNA from 1 species
CUCGGAGGUGUUAGCCACUGGAUUACAUGGUGUUGGUGUUGGUAUUGGUGGUGGAUUACCUGGUGUUGGUGUUAGCGCUGGAUUACCUGGUGUUGGUGCUGGAUUACAUGGUGUUGGUGGCGCUGGAUUACCUGGUGUUGGUGCUGGAUUACAUGGUGUUGGUGGCGCUGGAUUACCUGGUGUUGGCGCUGGAUUACCUGGUGUUGGCGCUGGAUUAUCUGCCAACGCUGGAUUAUCUGGUGCUGGUGGCGCUGGAUUACCUGGUGUUGGCGCUGGUGCUGGUGGCGGCCGUCGUGGUCGUGCUGGCUCCCCUUCUUAUCAUGCAAGUUCCCCUAGUGGUGGUGACAGCUCCCCU